rnacentral:rRNA from 1 species
CAAAUCUUGACAUCCUUUGACCGCUCUAGAGAUAGAGUUUUCCCCUUCGGGGGACAAAUGACAGGUGGUGCAUGGUUGUCGUCAGCUCGUGUCGUGAGAUGUUGGGUUAAGUCCCGCAACGAGCGCAACCCUUAAGCUUAGUUGCCAUCAUUAAGUUGGGCACUCUAGGUUGACUGCCGGUGACAAACCGGAGGAAGGUGGGGAUGACGUCAAAUCAUCAUGCCCCUUAUGAUUUGGGCUACACACGUGCUACAAUGGAUAAUACAAAGGGCAGCGAAUCCGCGAGGCCAAGCAAAUCCCAUAAAAUUAUUCUCAGUUCGGAUUGUAGUCUGCAACUCGACUACAUGAAGCUGGAAUCGCUAGUAAUCG